rnacentral:rRNA from 1 species
CCUACGGGGUGCAGCAGUAGGGAAUCUUUCACAAUGGGCGAAAGCCUGAUGGAGCAACGCCGCGUGCAGGAUGAAGGCCUUCGGGUUGUAAACUGCUUUUAUAAGCGAGAAAUAUGAUGGUAACUUAUGAAUAAGGAUCGGCUAACUACGUGCCAGCAGCCGCGGUCAUACGUAGGAUCCGAGCAUUAUCCGGAGUGACUGGGUGUAAAGAGUUGCGUAGGUGGCAUAAUAAGUAGCUAGUGAAAUCUGGUGGCUCAACCAUUCAGACUAUUAGCUAAACUGUUAAGCUCGAGACCGUUAGGGGUAACUGGAAUUUCUAGUGUAGGAGUGAAAUCCGUAGAUAUUAGAAGGAACACCAAUAGCGUAGGCAGGUUGCUGGGACGGUUCUGACACUAAGACACGAAAGCGUAGGGAGCAAACGGGAUUAGAUACCCGAGUAGUC